rnacentral:rRNA from 1 species
UACGUAGGGUGCAAGCGUUGUCCGGAAUUAUUGGGCGUAAAGAGCUCGUAGGCGGUUUGUUGCGUCGGCUGUGAAAUCCCGAGGCUCAACCUCGGGUCUGCAGUCGAUACGAGCAAACUAGAGUGUUGCAGGGGAGACUGGAAUUCCUGGUGUAGCGGUGAAAUGCGCAGAUAUCAGGAGGAACACCGGUGGCGAAGGCGGAUCUCUGGGCAGUAACUGACGCUGAGGAGCGAAAGCGUGGGGAGCAAACAGG